rnacentral:rRNA from 1 species
ACCACCCUACGGGACGCAGCAGUGAGGAAUAUUGGUCAAUGGCCGGAAGGCUGAACCAGCCAAGCCGCGUGAAGGACGAAGGUGCCAAGCAUUGUAAACUUCUUUUGUCAAGGGACAAAAUCAGGCUCGAGAGCCUGACCGAGGGUACUUGAAGAAAAAGCAUCGGCUAACUCCGUGCCAGCAGCCGCGGUAAUACGGAGGAGGCGAGCGUUAUCCGGAGUUAUUGGGUUUA